AAUGAACCUUAAGUGAAUUAGUGGCGAACGGGUGAGUAACGCGUGAGUAACCUGCCUUACACAAGGGGAUAGCCUCUGGAAACGGAGAAUAAUACCCUAUGAAACCUAUCUUAUCGCAUGAAUACGAUAGUCAAAGUGUAUUAGCGGUGUAAGAUGGACUUGCGUCUGACUUAGCUAGUUGGUGCAGCAUCAACAGCCCACCAAGGCAACGCAUCAGUAGCCGGCUUGAGAGAGUAUACGGCCACAUUGGGACUGAGACACGGCCCAGACUCCUACGGGAGGCAGCAUGGGGAAUUUUGCACAAUGGGGGCAACCCUGAUGCAGCGACGCCGCGUGAUUUAGAAGGCCUUCGGGUUGUCAAAAAUCUUUUGUAUAGGAAGAAAUGACAGUACUAUACGAAUAAGGUCCGGCUAAGUACGUGCCAGCACCGCGGUAAUACGUAAGGACCGAGCGUUGUCCGGAAUCAUUGGGCGUAAAGGGUACGUAGGCGGUUAGAAAAGUUAGAAGUGAAAGGCUAUAGCUCAACUAUAGUAAGCUUUUAAAACUGUUUAACUUGUAGUAGAUGGAAGGGAAAGUGGAAUUCCUAGUGUAGCGGUGAAAUGCGCAGAUAUUAGGAGGAAUACCGGUGGCGAAGGCGACUUUCUGGCCAUUAUCUGACGCUGAGGUACGAAAGCGUGGGUAGCAAACAGGAUUAGAUACCCUGGUAGUCCACGCCGUAAACGAUGAGUGUUAGGUUCUGGAGUAAAUCUGGGUGCCGCAGCUACGCAUAACACUCCGCCUG
rnacentral:rRNA from 1 species